AAAGCAAGAGCGCAUUGCAUCUGGCCAUGUUCUUCUAAUAGGUAUCUGAAUAACUUUAUUUUUAGAGAGACUUCUUUUUUUUUUUUUUCCUGAAGUUUAAAGCACUUUCUUUUUCCUUAACAUUUCGUAUGCAGUGACAGCCCUAUUGCAUUUGUUUGUGGACUUUGGAGACAGGCAGAAAGGAUAAGCAAUUGACAAGGAGCAGCAGAAAGAUUGUUGAAGCAAAUCAGGAGCUGUUGAAGAAGAGACCGACCAUGAUGUAGAAAAGAGAUGCCUUUAGGCCUGGGUCCAAGAAAGACUGACUGGAGUCCAAGCCAACAAUAGCCCCAAGCCUGUCCUUCUUUUCAACCACUGCAGUGUUCCCUCUGGUCUCAUCAAAAACAGAUGGGAAAUAUAUUGCAGAUCAUUCACCUAAUUAAGAAGGGGUUCACUUUCUUUUAUGUCCAGUAAGAAUCUGCCUAGAGUGUGAAUACAGCACUUGAAAGAAAUUCCGAAUGAAGGAUUAGCCAUUGUCUACAGAUGGUGAUUUUCAGAGGUUUGUAACACGUAAUUGAAGUGUUUUC
rnacentral:lncRNA from 1 species